rnacentral:rRNA from 1 species
UACGUAGGGGCUAGCGUUGUCCGGAUUUAUUGGGCGUAAAGAGCUCGUAGGCGGUCUGUCGCGUCUGCUGUGAAAACUCAGGGCUUAACCCUGAGCUUGCAGUGGGUACGGGCAGACUAGAGUGCGGUAGGGGAGACUGGAAUUCCUGGUGUAGCGGUGAAAUGCGCAGAUAUCAGGAGGAACACCGGUGGCGAAGGCGGGUCUCUGGGCCGGUAA